rnacentral:rRNA from 1 species
AUUGAACGCUAGCGGCAUGCCUUACACAUGCAAGUCGAACGGAGUGGCGAACGGGUGAGGAAUGUAUCGGUACGUGCCCAGUAGCGGGGGAUGACUACGCGAAAGCGUAGCUAAAACCGCAUACUAUUGGAGCGGCCGAUAUGGGAUUAGCUAGUGGGUGGGGUAAUGGCUCACCAAGGAGACGAUCCGUAGCUGGUUUGCGAGGAGGACCAGCCAAACUGUGACUGAGACACGGCCCAGACUCCUACGGGAGGCAGCAGUGGGGAAUUUUGGACAAUGGGGGAAACCCUGAUGCAGCAAGCCCGGGUGGUCGAUGAAGGCCUUCGGGUUGUAAAGCACUUUUGGCAGGAAAGCGGUACCUGCAGAAUAAGCACCGGCUAACUACGUGCCAGCAGCCGCGGUAAUUC